CAAUAGCGUAUAUUAAAGUUGUUGCAGUUAAAAAGCUCGUAGUUGGAUUUCUGGUGGGAGCGAUCGGUCUGGCGCUUAGCGCGAGUACUUGCAUCGUCUCCGGCCAUCCUUGGGGAGAGUCUGUCUGGCAUUAGGUUGUCGGGCAGAGGAUCCUCAUCGUUUACUGUGAAAAAAUUAGAGUGUUCAAAGCAGGCUUAUGCCGUUGAAUAUAUUAGCAUGGAAUAAUAAGAUAGGACUUUGGUACUAUUUUGUUGGUUUGCGCACCAAAGUAAUGAUUAAUAGGGUCAGUUGGGGGUAUUCGUAUUCCGUUGUCAGAGGUGAAAUUCUUGGAUUUACGGAAGACGAACUACUGCGAAAGCAUUUACCAAGGAUGUUUUCAUUAA
rnacentral:rRNA from 1 species